GAGGAGAUUAAAUAGUUAAGAAAUGAAAUUAAAGAAACGAAGGCUCUGAAAAAGAGAAAGAUAAUUCAACAUCUGUUCUUUUAGAAUUACCAAGAGGUAUUGAGUUUCCGUUUUCUUCGGAUGGUGAUCUUAAUCAAUUAGAGGAAAAGUUGAAAGAAGAUAAGAAUUUACAGUUUGCUUAUUCGGUAUUUUGAAUCCAUAUGCUGGCAUUGUAACUGAGGCGAAAAGAGAAGUCCUCAUUUGAAAGAGGGCCUGCCAUCACUAAUGUCAUUUGGGUAAAAUUGUUGAUUAAAAUAUUAUUUAUUUUUAUUAAUAUGUAUAUGUGAUUUUUUUUUUCUUCCAGUUUUUAAAUGCUUUAAGAAAAAAAAAAGAAGUUUUCUAUCUGAAUAAUAAUUCCAAUUGCAAAUAAUAAAUCAAAAUAUUUAGAAUUCCUCUCUUUUUGUAUUAAAUUUUACAAACAUUAAUUUGCAGUUAAUCCUUAACUUUUCUAAGUUUAUUCAGGAUUUUUCGUGUAUAUUCACAAUUUUUUAAUAUUUAUUAGUAUAUAUCAUUAGUCGAUUUUUAUCUUUGUAAGCUGUAGUUAAAGACAGCAUUAUAAUUAAAUUUAAUUUAAAAAUAAUUCUAGGAAGAGAUUCUCUCUAUUUGAAAAAUACAAAAUAAAAAUUUGCUCCCAUGCAAAGGAAACCAGAUAUUGCAAAAAAGUUUCAGAAAUCCAAACCAAAAAAGUGAGCGGGAGAGAGAGGCUUGAAAAACUUAAUUUUCAAAGUCUAACACAGUUGUACGUCAAUAGUUUUUGGAUCACAAAAAAAAGUAACUUUGUAGAAGGAA